GACAGAGGGUGCGAACGUUGUUCGGAAUUACUGGGCGUAAAGCGCAUGUAGGCGGCAGCGCAAGUCGGGCGUGAAAUCCCACGGCUCAACCGUGGAAGUGCACUCGAAACUGCGCAGCUAGAGUCCUGGAGAGGAAGGUGGAAUGCUUGGUGUAGAGGUGAAAUUCGUAGAUAUCGGAAGGAACAUCAGUGGCGAAAGCGACUUCCUGGACCAAUACUGACACUCAUGUGCGAAAGCGUGGGGAGCAAACAGG
rnacentral:rRNA from 1 species